UUUAUGCUGAAGCUGUGAGUUUUCCCAAGAAAGCAGAGGAGAGACGCGUGUACAGGAUGCAAGCGCACAGUGAGUCCUGUCCUUGCUCUGCAAGAUGAGCCAUUUCCAUUUCUCCAGUUGGUUUUGUCUCUGCUGGCUAAUUGGGUCUGCAUGGACGAGGUGGUGUCUUCAGCAGCUCCUACCACACUCUGGGGGAAGGUUCCUGCAUCCCAGAGGCAGUGCUGCCUUUGGGGAGGGCUCGUGUGCAGCUCCGCCGUCCCAGCCGGUGUGGAAAUAGUGGAGAACUGUGACCUAUUGUACCACCUAUAAAUGAAAAAAUGCGGAAACACUCGCUUUUGAAGACAUACAAAAGACAUAUUUGGAGAGAUUCCAGUUUCAAGUGCUUCAGCGGUGCGCCGAGGAGCAAGGAGGAAGCA